CAAGUCGAGCGAGUCUACCUUAUAGCAAUAUGAGGUAAGUCGAGCGGCGUAAGGGGCAGUAAUACCUGGGAACGUACCCUGAGGUCGGGGAUAGCUGCUGGAAACGGCGAGUAAUACCCGAUGAUCUUGGAAAAGCAAAGGCUUGCCGCCUUGGGAGCGGCCCAGGCGAUAUUAGCUAGUUGGUGGGGUAAUGGCCUACCAAGGCAUAGAUGUCUAGCGGGUGUGAGAGCACGACCCGCGCCACUGGCACUGAGACACUGGCCAGACACCUACGGGUGGCUGCAGUCGAGAAUCUUCGGCAAUGAGCGCAAGCUUGACCGAGCGACGCCGCGUGCGGGAUGAAGGCCUUCGGGUUGUAAACCGCUUUGGUCCGAAAGAAAGGGUAAAACUUGAUCGAUCGGAGAAACAAGGACGGGCUAAGUUCGUGCCAGCAGCCGCGGUAAGACGAACCGUCCAAACGUUAUUCGGAAUCACUGGGCUUAAAGGGCGCGUAGGCGGCCGAGCGGGUCGUGGGUGAAAUCCCCCAGCUUAACUGGGGAACUGCUUACGAUACCACUGCGGCUCGAGGAAGGAAGGGGCAAUGGGAACUGUCGGUGGAGCGGUGAAAUGCGUUGAUAUCGACAGGAACGCCUGUGGCGAAAGCGCAUUGCUGGUCCUUUUCUGACGCUGAGGCGCGAAAGCCAGGGGAGCAAACGGGAUUAGAUACCCCGGUAGUCCUGGCCUUAAACGAUGAGAACUAGGUAGUGGGUCCGACCUGGGCACACUGCCGAAGCGAAAGUCUUAAGUUCUCCGCCUGGGGAGUAUGGUCGCAAGGCUGAAACUCAAAGGAAUUGACGG
rnacentral:rRNA from 1 species